CCCAUCAGAAGGGGGAUAACCACUUGGAAACCAGGUGCUAAUACCGUAUAACACUAUUUUCCGCAUGGAAGAAAGUUGAAAGGCGCUUUUGCGUCACUGAUGGAUGGACCCGCGGUGCAUUAGCUAGUUGGUGAGGUAACGGCUCACCAAGGCAACGAUGCAUAGCCGACCUGAGAGGGUGAUCGGCCACACUGGGACUGAGACACGGCCCAGACUCCUACGGGAGGCAGCAGUAGGGAAUCUUCGGCAAUGGACGAAAGUCUGACCGAGCAACGCCGCGUGAGUGAAGAAGGUUUUCGGAUCGUAAAACUCUGUUGUUAGAGAAAGAAACAAAGGAUGAGAGUAGAA
rnacentral:rRNA from 1 species